AUUGAACGCUGGCGGCAUGCUUUACACAUGCAAGUCGAACGGUAACAGGCCGCAAGGUGCUGACGAGUGGCGAACGGGUGAGUAAUGCAUCGGAACGUGCCCAGUCGUGGGGAUAACUACUCGAAAGAGUAGCUAAUACCGCAUACGAUCUAUGGAUGAAAGCGGGGGACCGUAAGGCCUCGCGCGAUUGGAGCGGCCGAUGUCAGAUUAGGUAGUUGGUGGGGUAAAGGCUCACCAAGCCAACGAUCUGUAGCUGGUCUGAGAGGACGACCAGCCACACUGGAACUGAGACACGGCCCAGACUCCUACGGGAGGCAGCAGUGGGGAAUUUUGGACAAUGGGCGCAAGCCUGAUCCAGCAAUGCCGCGUGAAGGAAGAGGGCCUUCGGGUUGUAAACUGCUUUUGUACGGAAAGAAACGGCUCUGGUUAAUACCCGGGGCUAAUGACGGUACCGUAAGAGUAAGCACCGGCUAACUACGUG
rnacentral:rRNA from 1 species